UGGGGAAUAUUGGCGCAAUGGGGGAACCGUGGACCGCAGCGACGCCGCGUGAGUGAAGAAGGCUUUCGGGUCGUAAAGCUCUUAUCUGCGGGAAGAAGAGACGGUACCGCAGGAGAAAGCCCCGGCUAACUACGUGCCAGCAGCCGCGGUAAUACGUAGGGGGCAAGCGUUGUCCGGAGUAACUGGGCGUAAAGGGCGCGUAGGCGGAAUAAUAAGUCAGUUGUGAAAGAUAUGGGCUCAACUCAUAGAACGCAUCUGAAACUGUUAAAUCUGGAGUAUAGGAGAGGGAAACGGAAUUCCUGGUGUAGCGGUGAAAUGCGUAGAGAUCAGGAAGAACAUCAGUGGCGAAGGCGGUUUCCUGGCCUAAAACUGACGCUGAAGCGCGAAAGCAUGGGUAGCGAACAGGAUUAGAUACCCUGGUAGUCCACGCUGUAAACGAUGUCGAUUUUGGAGGUUGUGCCCUUGAGGCGUGGCUUCCGGAGCUAACGCGUUAAAUCGACCGCCUGGGGAGUACGG
rnacentral:rRNA from 1 species